AAAUGCUUUCUGCUGUGUAACUCCACCUGGUGCAAGUAUAACAGACAUUAUACUUCAGUCAGAAUUUGCAGUUGUUGAACUUUAAUAUUAUGUUUUUCUUUAUGGAAAAAAUAUUUGAAUUUUCCUUAAAACUUGAAAAUGAAACAUUUAUCUAGUAUGGGGUGCAAGUUUUUAGCUCAGUACAGCACUAUCAGUAUUUGUUUGACAGUGGGAGGACAUUUGAGCUGGCUGCAACACCCGCUAAGAGGAGGAUUCAUUUUCAGCUAAAUAAAGGUCCCAAAUACUUGACCUUGGACAUGUACUACAGACAGAAGAGAUAUUGUAACGGGCAGAAGCAUCAUGACUUGAGGCAUGAAGGAUUGUUUUGACUCCACAUCUCCGUGUUUUAUGAGUGUUUCUCACUGCUGGAUCCGUUCAAAGAUGCUGGAUGCCAUAUUUCUUGUUUCUCUGUGCACUUGCCUUCUGGAAGUGUUCAAAACCAAUACUGCCUCUACUAUUCCUUGCACUCUACUACUGCUGAAGUACCGAGAGUGCUCCUGCUUUGUGCUAACGCCUACCCUUCAGUUCCAUGUAUGAUUUUUCCAUGGCAACGUGCAGACCAAACUGAGGCUUACCCAUCAGUGAUACUCACUGCAAAGGCACAUGCAGCUGAUAAUACAGCUGACCCCUGUUGAUUGAUGACUUUUGGAUGGGAGAAAGAGACUGACAUCCAGCAACUGGUCAAGAUAAGAGCUAUAUGAAGACUGUGCCCCGGGAAGAAGAAGUCUCUGCAGAUCAACUACUGCACAGUGCUGUGACUGCAAGAAGGCCAGUUAGACUUCACACACACCCUCCAUGACAAUAUAAACGUCUCUCUUGCCCAGUUUUAUCUGGCCUUCUAACCCUGCGCAGUGGUUAGGAAAGGAAGGCAGGGAGAAUAGCUGCGAGGUGUUCCUGCCUCUCAGCUGUGCUUAGCCUGAUUUCGGCGGUGCAGCGGGAGCAGCCCAGCUGAACGCGCCGGACCGCAGCGGGCAGUGGCCGGGAAAAGGCCCCGCUGAGGGCCAGGAUUCUCUGCAGGGACAGGUUCCUCCCGGUGCAGCGGGAGCAGCCCGGCUGAACACGCCGGACCGCAGCGGGCAGUGGCCGGGAAAAGGCCCCGCUGAGGGCCAGGAUUCCCUGCAGGGACAGGUUCCUCCCGGUGCAGCGGGAGCAGCCCGGCUGAACACGCCGGACCGCAGCGGGCAGUGGCCGGUAAAAGGCCCCGCUGAGGGCCAGGAUUCCCUGCAGGGACAGGUUCCUCCCGGUGCAGCGGGAGCAGCCCGGCUGAACACGCCGGACCGCAGCGGGCAGUGGCCGGGAAAAGGCCCCGCUGAGGGCCAGGAUUCCCUGCAGGGACAGGCUCCUUCCACAGCAGCGGCCGCCGCCUCACACACGGCCCCUGCCAGCGCCACCUGCUGCUCCGAGCCGUCUGCUGCAGCUCGACCAGCCCGACCUGCCGCCGUGAAAACCAAUUAAUUACUCUCUGACAAACGCACCGAAACACGGCAACAAAAGCUAAGUCUGCUUCUCUUCUAGGAUUUUUCCUUAAGCUCUCUCCAGUAAUAACUCUUUGCAGGAGGUGAAGCGUACACUGUAUUUCACUUGCACAAAAUACAUUUGUGUAUGCACACAUGGAGGGAAGAGUGGUGGAUCAUUACUUGAACUAGCCAACACAGAAAUGUUGCAUGUAUGAUGUAAUUCAUGCCAGUGAAAAUAAAACGUAAAAAGGAA